rnacentral:rRNA from 1 species
UCGAGCGAUGACUAACUAACUUGCUAGUUAUGAUUAGUGGCGGACGGGUGAGUAACAUUUAGGAAUCUGCCUAGUAUUGGGGGAUAGCUCGGGGAAACUCGAAUUAAUACCGCAUACGACCUACGGGUGAAAGGGGGCGCAAGCUCUUGCUAUUAGAUGAGCCUAAAUCAUAUUAGCUAGUUGGUGGGGUAAAGGCCCACCAGGGCGACGAUCUGUAACUGGUCUGAAAGGAUGAUCAGUCACACCGGAACUGAAACACGGUCCGGACUCCUACGGGAGGCACCAGUGGGGAAUAUUGGACAAUGGGGGCAACCCUGAUCCAGCCAUGCCGCGUGUGUGAAAAAGGCCUUUUGGUUGUAAAGCACUUUAACCAAGGAGGAGAGGCUAAUGGUUAAUACCCAUUAGAUUAUACGUUACCUGCAGAAUAAGCACCGGCUAACUCUGUGCCAGCAGCCGCGGUAAUACAGAGGGUGCGAGCGUUAAUCGGAAUUACUGGGCGUAAAGCGAGUGUAGGUGGCUCAUUAAGUCACAUGUGAAAUCCCCGGGCUUAACCUGGGAACUGCAUGUGAUACUGGUGGUGCUAGAAUAUGUGAGAGGGAAGUAGAAUUCCAGGUGUAGCGGUGAAAUGCGUAGAGAUCUGGAGGAAUACCGAUGGCGAAAGCAGCUUCCUGGCAUAAUAUUGACACUGAGAUUCGAAAGCGUGGGUAGCAAACAGGAUUAGAUACCCUGGUAGUCCACGCCGUACACGAUGUCUACUAGCCGUUGGGGUCCUUGAGACUUUAGUGGCGCAUUUAACGCUAUAAGUAGACCGCCUGGGGA